rnacentral:rRNA from 1 species
GACGAACGCUGGCGGCGUGCUUAACACAUGCAAGUCGAACGGAAAGGCCCUGCUUUUGUGGGGUGCUCGAGUGGCGAACGGGUGAGUAACACGUGAGUAACCUGCCCUUGACUUUGGGAUAACUUCAGGAAACUGGGGCUAAUACCGGAUAGGAGCUCCUGCUGCAUGGUGGGGGUUGGAAAGUUUCGGCGGUUGGGGAUGGACUCGCGGCUUAUCAGCUUGUUGGUGGGGUAGUGGCUUACCAAGGCUUUGACGGGUAGCCGGCCUGAGAGGGUGACCGGCCACAUUGGGACUGAGAUACGGCCCAGACUCCUACGGGAGGCAGCAGUGGGGAAUAUUGCACAAUGGGCGGAAGCCUGAUGCAGCAACGCCGCGUGCGGGAUGACGGCCUUCGGGUUGUAAACCGCUUUCGCAUGUGACGAAGCGUGAGGGACGGUAAUGGGUAAAGAAGCACCGGCUAACUACGU